UCAGCUCAGAGACACAGAACCGUCAGAUUACUGGACUAAUCACUGUCGAGAGUUUGGGCACACCCCGCACAUGGCUGGGAGCCCGGAGAUUGACCUAUAAGGGAAACUUCCAUUGGCUGGAUCAAAGUGGGUUUUUUUACACACGAUGGGCAAAAGGUGAACCUAACAAUUUCUUUGGGUCUGAGGACUGCUUGGAAAUUAACUACCCAGGUACAUUAUCCUCUUCAACAAUUCUCCAUGGAGCCUUCACCAUGAUGAAAUCUGCAAGACAAGGAACAGGGGUUGGUAGCUGGAAUGAUGUCAGAUGCAAAAGAAAGAAGCCAUAUGUUUGUCAACAUAGAGUUUGACCACAAGGAAGCAUUCCUUCACUUCUAUGCUACUAACCUUAAGAGUCCUUCCCUUAUCGGUGUAUUCCAUUGAUUCACUCUUCUUUCCCUAUUAUCCUCCCCCUAAAUCUGUCUUCAUCCCAGCUAUAUAUGAGCUUUAUGCUAUUGAAGCUUAAUAAAAUGGUUAAAGAAAA